AUUGAACGCUGGCGGCAUGCCUUACACAUGCAAGUCGAACGGCAGCACGGGAGCAAUCCUGGUGGCGAGUGGCGAACGGGUGAGUAAUAUAUCGGAACGUGCCCAGUCGUGGGGGAUAACGCAGCGAAAGCUGUGCUAAUACCGCAUGAGAUCUAUGGAUGAAAGCGGGGGAUCGCAAGACCUCGCGCGAUUGGAGCGGCCGAUAUCAGAUUAGGUAGUUGGUGGGGUAAAGGCUCACCAAGCCGACGAUCUGUAGCUGGUCUGAGAGGACGACCAGCCACACUGGAACUGAGACACGGUCCAGACGCCUACGGGAGGCAGCAGUGGGGAAUUUUGGACAAUGGGCGCGAGCCUGAUCCAGCAAUGCCGCGUGCAGGAUGAAGGCCUUCGGGUUGUAAACUGCUUUUGUACGGAACGAAAAGGCUCUGGUUAAUACCUGGGGCACAUGACGGUACCGUAAGAAUAAGCACCGGCUAACUACGUGCCAGCCGCCGCCGUAAAAC
rnacentral:rRNA from 1 species